AAGGGCACCACAAGAACGCGUGGAGCAUGUGGCUUAAUUUGACUCAACGCGGGAAAACUUACCGGGUCCGGACACACUGAGGAUUGACAGGCGACCAUUUUGUAAAUAUGCUAGUCCUUUCAUGAUUGUGUGAUAGGUGGUGCAUGGCCGUUCUUAGUUCGUGGAGUGAUCUGUCUGCUUAAUUGCGUUUCAGAUAUAAAGGGUUCAAUCGCGUAUACUAGCACGCAUUAUCCUUCGGGUGUAUGUGUUGUUCGGUUGAGCGUUGGCCCUAUGAAAGCAACGAACGUGACCGCAGCCCAUUGUUAAGACGCUAGUCCGUCUCAAACUAUGGGGACCGCCAUGGUUUUUAACCAGGAGGAAGGUUGCGGCAAUAACAGGUCUGUGAUGCCCUUAGAUGUUCCGGGCUGCACACGUGCUACAAUGAUUGUUGCAGAAAGUAUCUGCUACUGAUUGUUCUCGAAGACUUUUGGUCGGAAAGGACCACGGAUGGCAUCAGUAGGGUGAAGGUUUUUUCUGGAUCCCUCUGUUACGCUGCCGUGAAACCUACCUCGAAAGUUCGGUAGGCAAUCAGUUCCAAGUGACAAUCUCCCCUGCACAAAUCAAAUGUUACUGUUUCUAUCGUGCUUCGGCGCUUUAGUGCAGUUGACAUGUGCUCUAUAAAUUCGUGGUCGGGACAGACCAUUGCUAAUUGUUGGUCUCGGUCUCAACUAGGAAUGCCUUGUACGGGUCUUUGGUUCAACAAACCACCCGGAAUACGUCCCUGCCCUUUGUACACACCGCCCGUCGCUCUUACCGAUGGACUUCUCUGUGAGUUUGAGGGACUGGCGUCCACGCCUCGUGUGUGCGAUGCUAUGGAAACUCAAACGAACAGUGUGGUCUAAAGGAAAGAGAAGUCGUAACAAGGCAUCGGUAGGUGAACCUGCAGAAGGAUCA
rnacentral:rRNA from 1 species